rnacentral:rRNA from 1 species
CGGGAGGGGGGAAAACAAAAAUUUUUCUUGGGGCGAAGGAUGAGAAACGUGCUUCCCUAAUGUUUUUCGGCGGACCGCUGUAUAACACGUGGAUAACCUACCUAUAGACUGGGAUAACUUCGGGAAACCGGAGCUAAUACCGGAUAAUAUUUUGAACCGCAUGGUUCAAAAGUGAAAGACGGUCUUGCUGUCACUUAUAGAUGGAUCCGCGCUGCAUUAGCUAGUUGGUAAGGUAACGGCUUACCAAGGCAACGAUGCAUAGCCGACCUGAGAGGGUGAUCGGCCACACUGGAACUGAGACACGGUCCAGACUCCUACGGGAGGCAGCAGUAGGGAAUCUUCCGCAAUGGGCGAAAGCCUGACGGAGCAACGCCCCGUGAGUGAUGAAGGUCUUCGGAUCGUAAAACCCUGUUAUUAGGGAAGAACAUAUGUGUAAGUAACUGUGCACAUCUUGACGGUACCUAAUCAGAAAGCCACGGCUAACUACGUGCCAGCAGCCGCGGUAAUACGUAGGUGGCAAGCGUUAUCCGGAAUUAUUGGGCGUAAAGCGCGCGUAGGCGGUUUUUUAAGUCUGAUGUGAAAGCCCACGGCUCAACCGUGGAGGGUCAUUGGAAACUGGAAAACUUGAGUGCAGAAGAGGAAAGUGGAAUUCCAUGUGUAGCGGUGAAAUGCGCAGAGAUAUGGAGGAACACCAGUGGCGAAGGCGACUUUCUGGUCUGUAACUGACGCUAUGUGCGAAAACCGUGGGGAUCAAACAGGAUUAGAUACCCUGGUAGUCCACGCCGUAAACGAUGAGUGCUAAGUGUUAGGGGGUUUCCCGCCCCUUAGUGCUGCACCCUAAAG